AUGGAGUACGGAUCACCCAACGGCACGGCGGUGGAGAAGUUCAACGACUCGCCGGCGCCAGCAGUGGCAAGAAGACACGAGACACCCAGCAGCGCCCUAAGCGAUUUCUUACCCAUCAAGGCAGAGUUGCAGAGGCAGACGAGCUUCCUCAUCGACAGGGAAUACAACGAUGUCGUGAUUCGUGUUUUCGUUGAGCUUGUAUACCCGGGAGGCCAAAGUAUGGAUAUGGACCGUGAGAUCAAGAGGCGUGCACAUGAUAUCUUUAGCCGCUUUUCUGGUCCCGUCCCGUUGGGGUUCAAGGAGAAGCUACAUGAGACGGUUGAUGAUGGGGCAGUUGGUGAUUUCGAGCGCGCCAUGUCCGUGUUCGCCCGGCAGAUAUGCGUGCCUCUAGGAAAACUUGCAACUCUGCUCUCCAAUGAAGAAAGAGAAGGGCAACACAAACAAAUCCGGCAAUUGUCUUUGAUUUCAGAAAUCAUCCAUGGUUUAAGGGCCACGCUGUCGCUGGGGAUGCCACACAAUGAUGGGUUUUUGAAGCCCGGAUCACCGUACAUCGACUCGGUGUUUCCGAGAGUGGUACUACGGUGGGGCUGCAGAAGCGCCCUCGUCGUGUACUCACGCAUCAAGAAGGAGCUGCAGAGGCAGGUGGGCGAGCUCAUUGACACGGAAGACAACGGUGUUGAGCUCCGGUUGUUCAAUCAUUACGGUGUAUGCUCAGGAGCAAGUAUGGAGGAUGCAAUCAGGACAAGUGCAACUAAAAUCUUCAAGAGAUAUUUUGGCCGCAUCCCGCAGUGGUACAAGAAGAUGGAGGCUGAGAGGAGUGAUGAGACGAAGGCCGAGACGGAUGACGAGACAGAUGAUGAGAUAGAAGGUUUCAACCUCAAUGUGUCCUUGUAUUGCGACGACAUAUGCAGGCAGGUAGAAGAACUCCUAGGUCUGGUCUCACUUGACAAAACUCCACAAAUUGAGCAAUUGCUUCGGGUUGCAUAUGAGAUCAAGGAUUUCAAGCGCAAUCUGGCAAAAGUGGGUUGGAUGCCAGUGGAGGAGGGGGAGGAGGAGAUUGUGGCACAAGGGAUGGAAAUCAAGGGAGAAGUGGUGGUCAGUGGAACAAUUGUCACAAUGACAAAGGCGAGUAGCUUGGAGGAGAAACAUGAGGAGGAGAUGAUCUUGGUGAAGAAACAUGAGGAGGAGGAGAAUGGAGAGGAGUCGGAGAGGGCAGGGGAGGAGUAG
rnacentral:rRNA from 1 species